rnacentral:rRNA from 1 species
AUUGAACGCUGGCGGCAGGCUUAACACAUGCAAGUCGAACGAGUGGCGGACGGGUGAGUAAUGCUUGGGAAUCUGGCUGAUGGAGGGGGAUAACUACGGGAAACGGUAGCUAAUACCGCGUACCAUAGGAUGAGCCCAAGUGGGAUUAGGUAGUUGGUGGGGUAAAGGCUCACCAAGGCGACGAUCCCUAGCUGGUCUGAGAGGAUGACCAGCCACACUGGAACUGAGACACGGCCCAGACUCCUACGGGAGGCAGCAGUGGGGAAUAUUGCGCAAUGGGGGCAACCUGAUGCAGCCAUGCCGCGUGUAUGAAGAAGGCCUUCGGGUUGUAAAGUUCUUUCGGUAGCGAGGCGUUAACUACAGAAGAAGCACCGGCUAACUCCGUGCCAGCAGCCGCGGUAAUUC